GCCUUGGUAAUAACUUUUAUCUAUAUGGUAUUUUGUAAUAAUCUCUGACAUUUAAAUGGCUCUUAAAAAUUUCUAAAGCUCCCAACAAUGCAUUAUCUCUUCAUAACAACUCUAUGAGGUAGACUCCACAGAUUAUUACCUCCAUUUUACGUAUGACUCAACUGAGACUUAGAGGAAAGGAAUGAUUCAUGAACUGAGUUUGCUUUGGGGUGGGUUUCUAUUCUAGGUUUAGAUUUGGCCCAGUGCCUCUUUAUGGGUGCUAACAUGUAUGGUAUCCUGACCAGGGGAGGGAAGGGUAGGCUUUCUUUAAUCCCCACAAAAACCAACCCAUGAACACUGAAAUAAAUCCAUCAUCUUCCCCUGUGGUCCAAGGAAAUUGUUCACUUGAAGCGCUAUGCAGAUUGGCUGCAUUUUUUCACGGAAUCUUAAAGACAAGUACAAAAGAUCUACCCAUGCCUCUAAGAACAUUGGACCAGGCACUCUUGAAGAAAGCUUUUCCACCCUCAUCUUUAGCAAUCUUCAUCCAGCAGUCAAUUGUCCCAGUGUACAUGAUAUCAGCUCCUUUGCUCCCGGAUUGCAUCAUCAUUUGCCGCCUUACUGUAUUAAAGGGAUAGGAAACCACACCUGCUACAGCAGUCACUGUUUGUGCAAUUAUCCAACUUAUCACAAUAUGAGUGUUCUUAGGACCUGGAAGCAUACCUUUUGCUGUAUCAUAGAUUGCAAAGUAGGCUGCUCUAUAGAUAAUAAUACCCUGCACUGAGACAUUGAAACCUUGAUAUACGCCCCAAAUUCCAUCAGACUUGGUGAUUUUCACAAAGCAGUCUCCCAGGCCUUUGAAUUCUCUUUCAGUGCCAGAUUUCCCAACACCAGCUGCCAAGCGGGUUCUCACAAAAUCCAAAGGGUAGACAAAGCCGAGAGAAGUGGCUCCAGCUGCACCACCAGAGGCAAGAUUACCAGCUAAAUACCUCCAAAAUUGCGUGUGCUUGUCCACUCCUCCCCAAAACACCUGUUUAUACUUAUCCUUAAAAUCAAAGUUAAGGGCCUGGGUGGGGAACUAUCUGAAGACAUUUAUCCCACCAGAAGGAAAGCUUCCUUUGUUCCUUUGGAAUUUGGACUAUACAGUCCAUGCCUUUGUACUGCUUAUCUGCAGCAAUUUAUUUACUUUCAUGCUUCACCCUCACCUGCAAUAGUAGCUUGACUCUCUCAAUGGGGGCCACUGUGGACUUGGAAAUAGCAGCAGCCAAGAAGUCCUUGGCAAAGGAGAUGGCCUGUUCCAUCAUUGUUACAGACGGGUUAGGUGGUGGAAUUGGAAACAGAAAGAUGGUGAAAGAGGGCUGAAAGCUAUGGAAUGCUUUGCUAUAUGAACAGACCCUUGCUACAACUUGGACCAAAAAGAUGGAACGUAUAUAAUUUUAAGAAGGUUAGUUUAUUUGAAACAAUGAUUUUUUAAAAAUUAGAUUAUUGGGGGCAGCUGGGGGGCAGCAGUCUGUAGAUUGAGAGCCAUACCUAGAGACAGGAGAUCUUAGGUUCAAAUUGGACCUCAGACACUUUCUAGCUGUGUGACCUUAGGCAAGUCACUUGACCUCAAUUGCCUAGCCCUUACCACUCUUCUGCCUUGGAACCAAUACAUAGUAUUAAUUUCAAGAUGGAAGGUAAGGGUUUAAAAAAAUUAUAUUAUUAAUGCCCAACCCCAAAAUGAGUCAGUUCUGCUCUGCUACUAUUGUAUUUGAAUACAACUGCUAAAUAAACACAAAGUAGCUUUAUAGAUAGUUGGGUCC
rnacentral:lncRNA from 1 species